rnacentral:rRNA from 1 species
GUGGGGAAUCUUGCGCAAUGGGCGAAAGCCUGACGCAGCCAUGCCGCGUGAAUGAUGAAGGUCUUAGGAUUGUAAAAUUCUUUCACCGGGGACGAUAAUGACGGUACCCGGAGAAGAAGCCCCGGCUACCUCCGUGCCAGCAGCCGCGGUAAUACGUAGGGGGCGAGCGUUGUCCGGAAUGACUGGGCGUAAAGGGCGCGUAGACGGCUGUCUAAGUCUGGAGUGAAAGUCCUGCUUUCAAGGUGGGUAUUGCUUUGGAGACUGGAUGGCUUGAGUGCGGAAGAGGUAAGUGGAAUUCCCAGUGUAGCGGUGAAAUGCGUAGAGAUUGGGAGGAACACCAGUGGCGAAGGCGACUUACUGGGCCGUAACUGACGUUGAUGCGCGAAAGCGUGGGGAGCGAACAGGAUUAGAAACCCUGGUAGUCC